rnacentral:rRNA from 1 species
AGCUCCAAUAGCGUAUAUUAAAGUUGUUGCAGUUAAAACGCUCGUAGUCGGAUUUCGGGGCGGGGUGCCGGUCUGCCGAUGGGUAUGCACUGGUAGUCGCGUCCUUCCUUCCGGAGACUGGCCCUACUCUUAACUGAGCGGGGUCGGGAGUCGGAUCGUUUACUUUGAAAAAUCAGAGUGUUUCAAGCAGGCAGCUCGCUCUUGCAUGGAUUAGCAUGGAAUAAUGGAAUAGGACUAUGGUCUCGUUGUUGGUUUGAGGGAUCGCAGUAAUGAUUAAUAGGGAUAGUUGGGGGCAUUAGUAUUUAUUAGCUAGAGGUGGAAUUCUCUAAUUUAAUAAAGACUAACUUAUGCGAAAGCAUUUGCCAAGGAUGUUUUCAUUAAUCAAGAACGAAGUAGACACG